CGGAGAUGAUGAAGCUUCUUCUCCUGACAAAUCCUGGAGGCAUAAACUGAUUUAAUGAGCCUGAUCU